GGGAAUCUGAAACACAAUGAAGCACGAUUCAUCAAUUUCAAGCAAUGCAUGACUACAAUAGGAUGACACAGAAAACAAGAUAAUUCUUUAAGCAAGUUAAGUUGUUAACUCAUUGGGCUUAUAACUAGUUUAAAUAUUCUAUACCAAUAAUUUGUACUGCCAAUUUCCCAUAUUUCAGAUUCCAUGAGUUGACUGGGGGUGCUGUUACAUUUCCCAUAUUUUCCUCACAAGUCUUUUUCGUCUGAAGGGAAGAAUAGAUUAAAGGUAAAACGAGGGCGACGCCAAACCUAAUUCCAAUACUGCCAGGUUAACACUGAUAGGCUUACAGCAACCCAGAAAGUAUGAGCUUUCAGAUCUGUUGCAAUUCUCCAUCCAACAAGAUAAAUACUGCAACUGGAAAAGCACUUUAGGAGACAAACAAGACCAACUGCUACAUUUUCUUUCCCUUUUUAUCAUUUUAAGAUGAGUGAAAUCUAAAACCUCCACCAGCCCUGUCCUAUCAUUCAACGUGUUUAAUAACCUGAGGGGACUCUGUCUUUUUCCAGAAGAGAAAUUGUCGGUCAGAUCAUUACCAUAGUCAAUGGAGUCCAACCAUGAAAAAAUCCAUAUUUUCUAAUAGCUUCACCAUCUGGAGACUUGGUGGUACUGGCCAAUAAACACAAGCUUCCAACUAUGGACAUUUCUA